rnacentral:rRNA from 1 species
UUGAAGAGUUUGAUCAUGGCUCAGAUUGAACGCUGGCGGCAAGCCUAACACAUGCAAGUCGAGCGGCAUCGGAAAAAAGUUUACUUUUUUGCCGGCGAGCGGCGUACGGGUGAGUAUAAUCUGGGGAUCUACCCAAUGGAAGGGGAUAACUGUUGGAAACGAUAGCUAAUACCCUAUAAUGUCGUUUAGACCAAAGUGGGGGACUUUUUUAAGCCUCAUACCAUAGGAUGAACUCAGACGAGAUUAGCUAGUAGGUAGGGUAAAAGCCUACCUAGGCGACGAUCUCUAGCUGGUCUGAGAGGAUGAUCAGCCACACUGGAACUGAGACACGGUCCAGACUCCUACGGGAGGCAGCAGUGGGGAAUAUUGCACAAUGGGGGAAACCCUGAUGCUGCUAUGCCGCGUGUGUGAAGAAGGCCUUAGGGUUGUAAAGCACUUUCAGCGGGGAAGAAUUAAAUAUUGUUAAAACCAAUAUUUAUUGACGUUACCCGAAAAAGAAGCACCGGCUAACUCCGUGCCAGCAGCCGCGGUAAUACGGAGGGUGCAAGCGUUAAUCGGAAUUACUGGGCGUAAAGAGUACGUAGGUGGUUUAUUAAGUCAGAUGUGAAAGCCCCAAGCUUAACUUGGGAAUUGCAUUUGAAACUAAUAUACUAGAGUUUAGUAGAGGAGUGUAGAAUUCCAGGUGUAGCGGUGAAAUGCGUAGAGAUCUGGAGGAAUACCAGUGGCGAAGGCGACACUCUGGACUAAUACUGACACUAAGGUACGAAAGCAUGGGGAGCAAACAGGAUUAGAUACCCUGGUAGUCCAUGCUGUAAACGAUGUCAAUUUGAAGGUUGCGACUUUUUGUUGUGGCUUUCGUAGCUAACGCGUUAAAUUGACCGCCUGGGGAGUACGACCGCAAGGUUAAAACUCAAAUGAAUUGACGGGGGCCCGCACAAGCGGUGGAGCAUGUGGUUUAAUUCGAUGCAACGCGAAGAACCUUACCUACUCUUGACAUCCAGAGAAACAAGCAGAGAUGCAUGUGGCCUUCGGGAACUCUGAGACAGGUGCUGCAUGGCUGUCGUCAGCUCGUGUUGUGAAAUGUUGGGUUAAGUCCCGCAACGAGCGCAACCCUUAUCCUUUGUUGCCAUCGAUUCGGUCGGGAACUCAAAGGAGACUGCCGGUGAUAAACCGGAGGAAGGUGAGGAUGACGUCAAGUCAUCAUGGCCCUUACGAGUAGGGCUACACACGUGCUACAAUGGUAUAUACAAAGAGAAGCAAAUUCGCAAGGACUAGCAAAACUCAUAAAAUAUAUCGUAGUCCGGAUUGGAGUCUGCAAUUCGACUCCAUGAAGUCGGAAUCGCUAGUAAUCGUGGAUCAGAAUGCCACGGUGAAUACGUUCCCGGGCCUUGUACACACCGCCCGUCACACCAUGGAAGUGAGUUGCAAAAGAAGUGAGUAGCUUAACCUUUUUUUUUUGGAGGGCGCUUACCACUUUGUGAUUCAUGACUGGGGUGAAGUCGUAACAAGGUAACCGUAGGGGAACCUGCGGUUGGAUCACCUCCUU